UACGUAGGGUGCAAGCGUUGUCCGGAAUUAUUGGGCGUAAAGAGCUCGUAGGCGGUCUGUUGCGUCGGCUGUGAAAACCCGAGGCUCAACCUCGGGCCUGCAGCCGAUACGGGCAGACUAGAGUUCGGCAGGGGAGACUGGAAUCCUGGUGUAGCGGUGAAAUGCGCAGAUAUCAGGGAGGGAACACCCGGUGGGCUAAGGC
rnacentral:rRNA from 1 species